AAUGAACGCUGGCGGCAUGCCUAACACAUGCAAGUCGAACGAAAGCAUGAGGAGCGGUCUCCCCUGGCGUUGGCGACGGGCGGGUGAGUCACAGGUAGAUGACCUACCUCUAAGACUGGGUUGACGACGGCAGGAAGAAUCUACUAUCCGAUAAUAUGUUGAACGGGAUGGUUCAUUGGUUAUAGCGGCUUUUGCUGUGACUAUGAGAUGAUUCCGUGUUGCAUCAGCUAGUUGGUAAGGGAACGGCUUACCAAGGCUACGAUGGGUAGCCGGCCUGAGAGGAUGAUCAGCCACACUGGAACUGAGACACGGCCCAGACUCCUACGGGAGGCAGCAGUGGGGAAUCUUGGGCAAUGGGCGAAAGCCUGAUCCAGCAAUGCCGCGUGAGUGAUGAAGGCCUUCGGGUUGUAAAGCACUGUUGGCGGGAAAGAAAAGCAGUGUGCGAAUACCACGUUGUCAUGACGGUACCCGCAGAAUAAGCACCGGCUAACUACGUG
rnacentral:rRNA from 1 species